GCUCCGUUGGUCUAGUGGUAUGAUUCUCGCUUAGGGUUAAACCCUGAGUACUUUCGAGUUUGCGAGAGGUCCCGUGUUCAAACCACGGAUGGAGCC